AAUGAACGCUGGCGGCAUGCCUAACACAUGCAAGUCGAACGAAGGCUUCGGCCUUAGUGGCGCACGGGUGCGUAACGCGUGGGAAUCUGCCCUUGGGUUCGGAAUAACAGUUAGAAAUGACUGCUAAUACCGGAUGAUGUCGUAAGACCAAAGAUUAAUCGCCCAAGGAUGAGCCCGCGUAGGAUUAGCUAGUUGGUGGGGUAAAGGCCUACCAAGGCGACGAUCCUUAGCUGGUCUGAGAGGAUGAUCAGCCACACUGGGACUGAGACACGGCCCAGACUCCUACGGGAGGCAGCAGUGGGGAAUAUUGGACAAUGGGCGAAAGCCUGAUCCAGCAAUGCCGCGUGAGUGAUGAAGGCCUUAGGGUUGUAAAGCUCUUUUACCCGGGAUGAUAAUGACAGUACCGGGAGAAUAAGCUCCGGCUAACUUCGUG
rnacentral:rRNA from 1 species